CAGCAGCCGCGGUAAUACGUAGGGUGCGAGCGUUAAUCGGAAUUACUGGGCGUAAAGCGAGCGCAGACGGUUAUUUAAGCAGGAUGUGAAAUCCCCGGGCUUAACCUGGGAACUGCGUUCUGAACUGGAUAGCUAGAGUGUGUCAGAGGGGGGUAGAAUUCCACGUGUAGCAGUGAAAUGCGUAGAGAUGUGGAGGAAUACCGAUGGCGAAGGCAGCCCCCUGGGAUAACACUGACGUUCAUGCUCGAAAGCGUGGGUAGCAAACAGGAUUAGAUACCCGAGUAGUCCCUGUCUCUUAUAC
rnacentral:rRNA from 1 species